CGGAGCUUGCUCCGGCGGAUUAGUGGCGAACGGGUGAGUAACACGUGAGUAACCUGCCCUUGACUCUGGGAUAACUGCUAGAAAUGGUAGCUAAUACCGGAUACGACCCUCGGCGGCAUCGCCAGGGGGUGGAAAGAAUUUCGGUCAAGGAUGGACUCGCGGCCUAUCAGCUAGUUGGUGAGGUAAUGGCUCACCAAGGCGACGACGGGUAGCCGGCCUGAGAGGGUGACCGGCCACACUGGGACUGAGACACGGCCCAGACUCCUACGGGAGGCAGCAGUGGGGAAUAUUGCACAAUGGGCGCAAGCCUGAUGCAGCAACGCCGCGUGAGGGAUGACGGCCUUCGGGUUGUAAACCUCUUUUAGUAGGGAAGAAGCGAAAGUGACGGUACCUGCAGAAAAAGCACCGGCUAACUACGUGCCAGCAGCCGCGGUAAUACGUAGGGUGCAAGCGUUGUCCGGAAUUAUUGGGCGUAAAGAGCUCGUAGGCGGUUUGUCGCGUCUGCUGUGAAAUCCCGAGGCUCAACCUCGGGCCUGCAGUGGGUACGGGCAAACUAGAGUGUGGUAGGGGAGAUUGGAACUCCUGGUGUAGCGGUGGAAUGCGCAGAUAUCAGGAAGAACACCGAUGGCGAAGGCAGAUCUCUGGGCCAUUACUGACGCUGAGGAGCGAAAGCGUGGGGAGCGAACAGGAUUAGAUACCCUGGUAGUCCACGCCGUAAACGUUGGGAACUAGAUGUAGGGUCCAUUCCACGGAUUCUGUGUCGCAGCUAACGCAUUAAG
rnacentral:rRNA from 1 species